CAACUUCCACCUGGCUUACCUCCNUCAGUUAUGCGUCAUGACUUGUAUCGUCUUGAGCGUAUUGUGGGUUUCCUGUGUUGCAUACCUUUCUAAUGGUAUCGUGCUGAUUGAUCGAAGUCCCUUUUCAUCUUGUGUUGCUUUUUGUGACGCAUGAUGAACAUCGAGGCGGUCUCUAUGUUCCACCACGUUGAUGCUCCUGUUUCAAUGUUGUGGCCCAUUGAGUGUUGCUUGGUUUCGUGGAUACAGAACAUGAUUUGGGCAUAGGGUUACUUGUGACUCUUGUUCUGUCCUUUAUCAGUGUUCUUUAUAACGACGGUUCAUGCGCGCCUAGGCUCGUACCUGCGCGAUGUUCUUUGUCAAAGAGGAAUGCUACCUGGUUGAUCCUGCCAGUAGUCAUAUGCUUGUCUCAAAGAUUAAGCCAUGCAUGUGUAAGUA
rnacentral:misc_RNA from 1 species